GUUCACAUCUUACCGGGCAGCAUUAGAUUUUGUACUAUAGAUAUCUCUAAUACUGUCAGGUAAAGAUGUCGUC
rnacentral:pre_miRNA from 1 species